rnacentral:rRNA from 1 species
UUGACCUCGAAUCAGGUAGGAAUACCCGCUGAACUUAAGCAUAUCAAUAAGCGGAGGAAAAGAAACCAACAGGGAUUGCCCCAGUAACGGCGAGUGAAGCGGCAACAGCUCAAAUUUGAAAUCUGGCUCUCGGGCCCGAGUUGUAAUUUGUAGAGGAUGCUUUUGGUGAGGUGCCUUCCGAGUUCCCUGGAACGGGACGCCAUAGAGGGUGAGAGCCCCGUCUGGUUGGACACCGAUCCUCUGUAAAGCUCCUUCGACGAGUCGAGUAGUUUGGGAAUGCUGCUCUAAAUGGGAGGUAUAUGUCUUCUAAAGCUAAAUACCGGCCAGAGACCGAUAGCGCACAAGUAGAGUGAUCGAAAGAUGAAAAGAACUUUGAAAAGAGAGUUAAACAGUACGUGAAAUUGUUGAAAGGGAAGCGCUUGUGACCAGACUUGGGCUUGGUUGAUCAUCCGGGGUUCUCCCCGGUGCACUCUUCCGGCUCAGGCCAGCAUCAGUUCGCCCUGGGGGAUAAAGGCUUCGGGAAUGUGGCUCUCUCCGGGGAGUGUUAU